GGUUCCAUGGUGUAAUGGUAAGCACUCCAGCUUCUGAAUCCAGUGAUCUGAGUUCAAAUCUCAGUGGAACCU
rnacentral:tRNA from 1 species